rnacentral:misc_RNA from 1 species
UCUUCUCAACCCUUCUGUCUUUUUUAUUAAAGACAGCCGGGCUUGGACUUGGAGGCUUUGCGGGCAUCUGAAUGUUUAAUUCAGAAGUCGGCUCCUCUGAAAUGCAUUAGCUUGAAUAGAACCAAGCAUGAUUCAGCGUGAUAAUUGUCUACGUUGCUUCAUCUCGGUGAAUUUAAUGUUCAAGCUUCUAACCGUCCCUCGGGACAAUCUCUGAAC